GACAGAGGGUGCAAACGUUGUUCGGAAUUACUGGGCGUAAAGCGUGUGUAGGCGGCUUUGUAAGUCGGAUGUGAAAGCCCCGGGCUCAACCCGGGAAGUGCACUCGAUACUGCGAAGCUUGAGUACUGGAGAGGUUGGUGGAAUUCUCGGUGUAGAGGUGAAAUUCGUAGAUAUCGAGAGGAACACCGGUGGCGAAGGCGGUCGACUGGGAC
rnacentral:rRNA from 1 species